UGAAGAACGAACGAUCGCGUUUCCAUCUUGUCGGCCAGUGAGGGACUGCUGCACAGAUAGCUGUGAAAUAAGCUCGAAAAUUGGAAAUUUUUCUGCUUGAAUUGUGAUAAAAAUAGUGAAAUUGCAUGCAUUUGAAGUUGAAGUUGCUUUUUCACUAGUUAGCAUGACGCAAAAUUGAUGGUUCAUCAGUUUUUUCUGCAAUUUUAUUUCGGUCGCAGGUGAACGGAAAAGCUGCAUCAGCGAAAAAUAGUUCGUCUGUGUGUGUGAGACCAGCGUCGUCAUAACGGCAGAAGCAAGAGCAACUCUCCAAUGACUGUCGGUUCCACGUUUGCUUGGUAGGAGUUUUAUUUUUUCGAUUGCUGCCGGUGUCUGAGUUUGAUACCACGUAAAAUAAUUGCGUUAGUGCGAGUUGAUUUGAUAAAGAUAUUUCUAUCAUUGCCCUGGUAGCUACGCGUGUUAGUGGAGAAACAGUGAAUAAAGUGGCAUGUCCUUUCCGACAAGACCUCCGCCGGCACUUGUGCCAGCGGGGUUGCCUUUCGCCAUGGCACCACCAAUAAUGCCACCUAUCAUACCGGGUGGAAUGCCACCGAUGAGCCAACCUCCGCCGGGAGCACGGCCCGCUUUCCGGGGGCCUCCGCCCACGAUUGGAUCUCGCCCGCAGAUGUAUAACAACAUGAAUAAUCAUCACGACAUGGCACAUCGAGGGGGAGGUGUGCAAGUUCCAAAUCCAGCCCCGACUUACGAUGGACCGGUGAUUACCGUAUUCAUCGGAAAUAUCAGCGAUAAGGCCCCGGACCCGAUGAUCAAGAAAAUUCUUGCUUCCUGUGGCACAGUUAUCAAUUGGAAGCGCGUAUCUACAUUCGGCUUUUGCGAGUAUGAUGGUGCAGUCGCUGGAGCUCGUGCAGUUCGGCUGUUGCACGAUUUGGAAAUUGAUGGUAAAAAGUUAGUAGCCAAGGUGGAUGCGAAAAACAAAGCCCUUUUGGAUGAUUACAAGGGUGACGAAACGGGAAAGGGUGAUGAGAAGUAUGAACGAAGGUGUGAUGACGAGUCGGUCGACUUGAUCACCCGGAUUCUGGAAGAAUUUAGAGCAGAUCUAUACGGGGAUGAUCCGCCCGAUGAUGAGGCUGGCAUUCCCAAAUCUAAAAAACAACUACAGUCCGUGCACAUUGAGGAGGGUAAAAGGGAAAUUAUAAGUCAGGAGAUAGGGAAAUUCCGUAAGUACACUGAAGCAGAGGAACUGAAGAAAGAAAAGGAAAAAGAACGGAAAAAAGCUCGCGAAGAUAAGAAGCCUGAAGGAGAAAAAAGGAAGUCUGUUUCUCCGAAGAAGGAGAAAGAGAAAGAUAAAAAAUCUAGGAGGAGGAGCCGCUCACGAUCCAGAGACCGUGAGCGAGAACGCGAGCGUGAGCGGGAACGUGAGAAGGAAAGGGAACGGGAACGGGAGAGAGAACGGGAGAACCGCGAACGCAUAGAGCGGGAGACUCGGGAGAGAGAAGCCCGCGAUCGUGAACGGGAGCGGGAGCGAGAGAGGGAACGAGAACGCGAGCGUGAACUGCAAAAUCGCAAUCCACGAGACAUUCAGAGGGAGAAAGAAAUGGAAGAAGAAGCGCGCGAUCGAAGGAAGGCGGAGAAGAAGUCCAAAGAAAAAGAAGCCGCCUAUCAGGAAAGAUUGCGCAAUUGGGAGGCCCGCGAAAGACGGAAGACCAAGGAUUACGAGAAGGAACGCGAGAAAGAGCGCUGCCGGGAAGAGGAACGGGAGCGGGAGGCGAAACGUUUGAAAGAAUUCCUUGAGGACUACGACGACGAACGGGAUGAUCCUAAAUAUUAUAAGGGUCGUGAAUUGCAACGACGAUUGGCGGAACGCGUUCGCGAAGCGGACCAAGAUUCUAAAGAUCGCAACAAGGAGCAGGAAGAGCUCGAUGAGCUCAAGAACAAGAUAUUCUCCGGCGAGUACGACAACCCGACACUAGAGUUUGAAAAGGCCAAGAAACAGCGCGAGGACAUGUACCGACCUAAGAUCUUGAUUGAUGUUAACUUAGAGCAAUCGCAGCAGCGGGAGCGCGAGCUAGAGCGUGAACGCCAACGUGAGCUGGAAAGACAGCGGGACAAGGAACGUGUGAGAGCAAACAAGGAGCGCUACGUCCUUGCUCAGGCAUCCCGUGAGCUGGCAGCAAUCGACGCUGAGCCUAUCGAAUCGGAUUCCAGUGGGCAUGAUGAUAAUAAUGUUGGAUCGCCAGAUUUAGAACCUGCGAUUAAUAACAAUAACCAUCACCUGGGAAAUAACGUAAUGCUACACCAAUCGCAGCAUGCCGGAUCGGAAACACGGGAUUCUUUCGGUUUUGGUUCGGCUCCUGUCGCUGUGAUAGGCGGUGGUCCGAUGGGUAUGGAAGAUGAAAACUCUCGUCAUUCAAUGCGCUCGAAUUCCAAUACCAUGGUGAUGCAAAGUCCUGGUGGGAAUAGCAACAGCGGUAUGAAUUCACUUCCGGAGAAACCACAGCCGAUUGCUCCCACAAUUAGUCUUAGCUUGAACGCUAAUGCUAAAAAGAAGAAGUUCGAAAUUAAAGACGUUUUCAACAGCAUGGAAGACGACGGCGAAGAAUCCAAUGGGCCUAGAAAGAGAAAAUUAGUUCCGCUGGACGAAGAGAGCAAAGCCCAAAUGGCGGCAGCGGCAGCUGGUCAGACUGGUUCGUCGCAGCACUCGAACUCCAAGGGCUCUUCCAAGAGUAAAGGCGCCGAAGAUGCUUCCGGCACUAGCGGCGGUCGAUCUAGUCGAGAUACCAUCAAAUCACAGGAAGAAAAACGACGACAUAUUAAAAGUAUUAUCGAUAGAAUCCCCACGGAGAAGAACGAUUUGUUCAACUAUCCACUGGAUUGGAAUGAAAUCGAUGCAACGAUCGAAAAGAAGAUUCGUCCGUGGAUAAACAAGAAAAUAAUCGAAUACAUUGGGGAGCCGGAACCGACGUUGGUUGAUUUUAUCUGUUCGAAAGUACUGGCCGGAAGCACUCCGCAGGGAAUUUUAGACGACGUUAUGAUGGUUUUGGACGAGGAAGCUGAGGUAUUUGUGGUGAAAAUGUGGCGCCUGUUAAUCUAUGAAGUCGAGGCGAAAAAGGUUGGACUAACGAAGUAAGCUGGGCAGUUCGUGGGAGUUACAGAAAUCAAAAUAUCGCAGCAGUGUUUGUGCUUUGCGUAAAUUCGGAUCGUUGAUCGUUGCUGUCACAUUUAUCGACAACAUUUUACACGCAGAUUUUGCCAAGUGACAUCGCCGCUGUGUGAGGCCAAGCCGCAGAACUACUAUCUGAACCACCAUCGGAGUUCCCCAUUCUCUCAUCGAACGUCGACAUACAUGAUAAUGAGUGAUAUCGCAACACAAAACAUCAAAAUCAGCUAGCAUUGCUCUAAUGUGGUUGCUUUUUCCUUUCGGUUCCGUCGUCGACCCCCCGCCAGUCAGUCGAUUGAUACUGGCCUAGCUUCGAAGGUGCCGAGCGCGCCUUCCCGACGUGUUCCCGCCUCACCGUCGUGGCUGUCGUCAUCGUGUUGCAGCAGGACGCAUAAGGUGAGCCCCGAGUUUCGAUUCACCGUCACUGAUCAAUUUGGGAGGCCGUGCUCUGACUAACGAAAAACUCUCAAAUACUUCCCCCUGCAGGCGUGCUGCUGCGCGAAAUCUAUUGCUCGGAGAUUUGACCUUCCGGUUUUGUUGGAUGCUGCCCGAGAAACCGAAUGUUACACUGUUUUUCAGUUUUUGGCAGUGUUUGCCUAAUUUACGUCAUCUGACUGCUGCUAGAUUUAGAUGUGCGAAACUUGCCGUUGGUGCUCUAGUUCCGUGAGGAAGUUACUCCCGUAUGUAGAUAGAAUAAUUAUUUACUUUUAAAAUGUUGGAUAAAUUAUCCGCUGUUGCAACUGGUAUCAUAAAGCAGGAAAGGGUAAUGUUAGUGUACAUCCUUAUAGGAUUCGGUUUACUUAUCUGAAUAGACAUAAAGAAGUGAAACAAAAGAGUAGGAAUUAA